rnacentral:tRNA from 1 species
ACCAGGAUGGCCGAGUGGUUAAGGCGUUGGACUCAAGAUCCAAUGAGCCUAUGCUCACGUGGGUUCAAAUCCUACUCCUGGUA